rnacentral:rRNA from 1 species
UGGGGAAUCUUCCGCAAUGGGCGAAAGCCUGACGGAGCAACGCCGCGUGAGUGAAGAAGGCCUUCGGGUCGUAAAGCUCUGUCUUUAGGGACGAAAAGGCAGGAGAGUAAUAUGCUCUUGUUGUGACGGUACCUGAAGAAUAAGCACCGGCUAACUACGUGCCAGCAGCCGCGGUAAUACGUAGGGUGCAAGCGUUAAUCGGAAUUACUGGGCGUAAAGCGUGCGCAGGCGGUUAUAUAAGCCAGAUGUGAAAUCCCCGGGCUCAACCUGGGAACUGCAUUUGAGACUGUAUGGCUAGAGUGUGUCAGAGGGGGGUAGAAUUCCACGUGUAGCAGUGAAAUGCGUAGAUAUGUGGAGGAAUACCGAUGGAGAAGGCAGCCCCCUGGGAUAACACUGACGCUCAUGCACGAAAGCGUGGGGAGCAAACA